AGUGAACGCUGGCGGUAGGCCUAACACAUGCAAGUCGAACGGCAGCACAGGAGAGCUUGCUCUCUGGGUGGCGAGUGGCGGACGGGUGAGGAAUACAUCGGAAUCUACCUUUUCGUGGGGGAUAACGUAGGGAAACUUACGCUAAUACCGCAUACGACCUACGGGUGAAAGUGGGGGACCGCAAGGCCUCACGCGAUUAGAUGAGCCGAUGUCCGAUUAGCUAGUUGGCGGGGUAAUGGCCCACCAAGGCGACGAUCGGUAGCUGGUCUGAGAGGAUGAGCAGCCAACCUGGAACUGAGACACAGCCCAGACUCCGACGGGAGGCAGCAGUGGGGAAUAUUGGACAAUGGGCGCAAGCCUGAUCCAGCCAUACCGCGUGGGUGAAGAAGGCCUUCGGGUUGUAAAGCCCUUUUGUUGGGAAAGAAAUCCUGUCGAUUAAUACUCGGUGGGGAUGACGGUACCCAAAGAAUAAGCACCGGCUAACUUCGUGCCAGCCGCCGCCGUAAGAC
rnacentral:rRNA from 1 species